UCCACCCUGAUGAGGCCAGUCGGCACUGCCCAUAGGCAGAAGUGCCUUUGUUUGCAGGAACCUGAACUAUUAAACACUCUCGCUGAAAUGGCUCCUUCCAGCUGUGCUGCUGCAGUGCUUAAAAAAGGAGAGCAGAGACAGCGCUGCCACCUGCUGCUCCUGGGGACGUGGCUCUCCUGCUCACCAGGGGCAUCAAAGCCUUCCUGUAGAAUCCCAAAAUAUUCUGAGCUGGAAGGGACCUACAAAUAUAAUUGAGUCCAAUUCUUAAAGCUUGGAUGUGAAAAGUUGGUAUUUAAUGUAAAAGUAAAUGUUAAAAAAAAUUAAAGUUUAUAGUCAAAAAUUGUUUACCAUAAAAUGAAAUACCAACUUUGAUCUUUGCAAAGCAUCAGGUAAUAACAUAAGCUACCACUAUAGUCCUGUCACAGUCUUAAAAAGAAAGCAAGCUGCCUUGCCACCCUGCUUUACAGUUUAGUCACCCCUUGAUACUGUUGUCUUUGGCUAGUUCAGUACAGAGAGUUUCGUUAGGAAUUUACUGAAACUGCAGGCAAUUAACCUCUCACCAGACUAAGGCUUUAUAUUAACAAUGCUGUCCUUAAAGAAAGGCAUGAUGGGCAACAGACAAGAGUGACAGAGCAAUUUGCCAGAAGAAGUGUGGAUGGAUUUGUGAUUUGCAUAACAAGGUUUGAAAUACUCACAGCUGAGGAAAACAGAACAGAAUAUUUCAGUUGGAUGGGACCUACAAUCAUCACCUAGUCCAAGACUAAGGCAAACAGCUCCAAUUAAUCUACCAGAAGACCCUCUCCAUUCCAUGAACCUGCUCCUCCACUCCAUCCUACUCUUGAGCCCUGUUCUGGAUGCAGGACACGUAGCUAACUUGGCACUGUUGAGAUGUGCCCUCUUGUACCUGCAAAGAUGCCAACUCUUAGGGCUAGAAAUCAAAGGGAGCCACAUCAGCCUUGACCUGGGGACAGAGGCUGAGAGGUUAAGAAGAGACAUCACUUGGGCAGGUUACUGAUGAGUAUUUUCAAGUCACUCCACUAUCAAACAGGAUGUCUGGAGCAGCUAAGAGCUUGUGGAGCUGCACUCACCCUGUAGGAGGCUCUGAGGCCAAAGGAGGAGAAACAAGUGCGAGUAUGCUGACAUUGAAGCUGUUGUUGAGAGAUGAUGAAAUUGGGUGGAGAGACACUUCACUGAGAAGCACAGUGGAGAGCUGGAACCACCUCUACUCAGAGCAUCCUUCAGGACUGAUACCCUGGGGGGACAGCAGCAAGCAGGGGACUGUGAAACACUGCACAAGCCUGGCAGCAGGGUUUGACAGCACUGAGAUAUCACCUGGAAAGAAGCAGCUGGGAGUAUCUCCCCAUUUGACAUAGGAUGCACAGCCUCUUUUCCUGUGUUCUCCAAAUUCAGUGAUGCUCAAGACUCUGCACAGCAUCGCCCUCCCAAAAUUAUCCAAAGAAAUGCUGCAGCACCCUGGCAGGAGGAAAGUGCAUGAGCCCUUGAUGAGUUUCUGAGGUCCCUUACAGCCUGUGUUAUUCU